ACAAACUUGGUCAUUUAGAGGAAGUAAAAGUCGUAACAAGGUUUCCGUAGGUGAACCUGCGGAAGGAUCAUUAUUGAAUAAUUUGCCUUGAUGGGUUGUUGCUGGCCUCUCGAGGCACUGUGCACGCCUGUCUUGACACUAUUCAUCCACCUGUGCACUUAUUGUAGUUCUAUACUCAUUUGGGGGUCAAGAAAACGGAGUUAUUGUUCGGUUGAAACAUAUUGGAUGUGAGGAUUGCCUUCUUGGCUUUCUUCUACUAGCUUCGUGGAAUUGUGCUCUUACGAGUCAUAGGACUAUGUCUUUUAUCAUAAACCAUGUAGUAUGUUGCCAGAAUGUAUUUAAUGGGUCUUUGUGCCUAUAAAACUUUAUACAACUUUCAGCAACGGAUCUCUUGGCUCUCGCAUCGAUGAAGAACGCAGC
rnacentral:misc_RNA from 1 species